rnacentral:rRNA from 1 species
UACGAACUGUGCAAACGUUAUUCGGAAUCACUGGGCUUACAGGGUGCGUAGGCGGCUUGUUAAGUAGGGUGUGAAAGCCCCCGGCUCAACCGGGGAAUUGCGCCCUAAACUGGCGAGCUAGAGUGAGAUAGGGGUAUGUGGAACUUCCGGUGGAGCGGUGAAAUGUGUUGAUAUCGGAAGGAACGCCGGUGGCGAAGGCGGCAUCCUGGACCGGCAUUGACGCUGAGGCGCGAAAGCCAGGGGAGCAAACGGG